UACGUAGGUGCGAGCGUUGUCCGGAAUUAUUGGGCGUAAAGGGCUCGUAGGCGGUUUGUCGCGUCGGGAGUGAAAACACACAGCUUAACUGUGUGCUUGCUUCCGAUACGGGCAGACUAGAAGGUAUGCAGGGGAGAACGGAAUUCCUGGUGUAGCGGUGAAAUGCGCAGAUAUCAGGAGGAACACCGGUGGCGAAGGCGGUUCUCUGGGCAUUACCUGACGCUGAGGAGCGAAAGUGUGGGGAGCGAACAGG
rnacentral:rRNA from 1 species